rnacentral:tRNA from 1 species
GUCCCUAUCGUCUAGAGGCCUAGGACACAUCCCUUUCACGGAUGAGACACGGGUUCGACUCCCGUUGGGGACGCCA